GACGGAAGGUGCAAGCGUUGCUCGGAAUCACUGGGCGUAAAGGGUGCGUAGGCGGCUUGGUAAGUUGGGUGUGAAAGCCCCGGGCUCAGCCCGGGAAGGGCACUCGAAACUGCCGAGCUGGAGUGCCGGAGGGGAGAGUGGAAUUCCUGGUGUAGCGGUGAAAUGCGUAGAUAUCAGGAGGAAUACCGGUGGCGAAAGCGACUCUCUGGACGGCAACUGACGCUGAGGAGCGAAAGCGUGGGGAGCGAACAGG
rnacentral:rRNA from 1 species